ensembl:lncRNA
CGCGCGGAGAGCAGAGGGCUCACAGAGGUCAGAGCUCAGAGUGCAGGCGGACCGCGGAGAAACACGCUCAGUUCAUCUACGGGAGGAUGGAGGUGGAGAACCGACCCAACGGAUUUGACUUCUCCAAACGGGACAACUUACUGGGCAGCGGUUUUUAUGAAGAGAACUCCCUUCAGGAAGACACAGGUGAGGGAACUGUCUGUGCUUGAUUUCUUAAAAUGAACCUAAAAAUGAACAUUUUUUCAUCAUUUACUCACCCUCAAAUUGUUCCAAACCUGCAUGAGUUUCUUUCCUCUGUUAAACACAAAGGAUGAUAUUCUGAGGAAUGUUGGUAACCAUGCAGUUGCUGGUAGCCAUUGACUUCCAUAGUAUUUCUUCCUCUUGCUAUGGAAGUCAAUGGCAAAAUAUCUUCUUUAUGUUCAACAGAAGAAAAUAACUCACACAGGUUUGGAACAGCUUGUGGGUGAAUAAAUUAUUACAGAAUGUUCAUUUUUGGGUGAACUAUCCCUUUAAGAGUUAAGAGUUAAGUCUAUUGUGACAUUCUGGAAUAAAACAAAAAAAGAGGGAAUUAAAAAAUAGCAUCCAGAGUAAAAUGUGACUGCAGUACUUAGCUUCAAUAGUAGAGCACAUCACCAAGCUCUCUCUCUCUCUCUCUCUCUCAUUCUCCAAAGCUCUGGUGAAAUUGCAUCUUUUGGGGGUUAGAAUUAGUUCAGGAGCUUCUAAUCUUAUGUUGCCAACAAAUCCUUCUCUGAUGCAUGCAUGCUGUUGUAAAGCUGUACAAGUCAGGGUCAAACAUUGUUAGAGAAAGCAGUUGAUUUAUGUGAGAAACCAAUUAAGCCGUAAAGCGGCGGAAGAGCAUUCCAGAAGCACACACACACACACACACACACACACACAACACACACACAUACUGUACACACACAUACCGGUGACAUCACCUUCACUCCCUGUGGCAGUGGAGUCAAAGUUAGGUCAGCAAUCAGGCACCAAUAUCAAGCAGGGAUUGUAGGCAUCUAAUUGGCUAAAAGUAUUUUGGUGAUCUGGAUUUUUUUUUUUUUUUCAAUAUUAUAAUAUUUAAAGAAAUAGUUCACACAAAAAUGAACAUUUGCUGAAAAUUUCCUCAACCUCAGGCCAUUCAAGAUGUUUGUCCAUUAGAACAGAUUUUGAGGAAAUUACAUCACUUGCUCACCAAUGGAUCUUCUGCAGUGAAUGGGUGCCGUCAGAAUGAGAGUCCAAACAGCUGAUAAAAGCAUCACAAUAAUCCACAUGUAAUCCACAUGACUCCAGUCCAACAAUUAAAGGGAUAGUUCACCCAAAAAUGAAAAUUAUGUCAUUAAUGACUCACCCUCAUGUCAUUCCAAACCCGUGAGACCUCCGUUCAUCUUCGGAACACAGUAUAAAAUAUUUUAGAUUUAGUCCGAGAGCUUUCUGUCCCUCCAUUGAGAAUGUAUGUACGGUAUACUGUCCACGUCCAGAAAGGUAAUAAAAACAUCUUCAAAGUAGUCCAUGUGACAUCAGAGGGUCCGUUAGAAUUUUUUGAAGCAUCGAAAAUACAUU